rnacentral:rRNA from 1 species
CUAGACAGAUAGUUUGUUUGUGUAUGACAUUGUACCGAAGGAUUUAGAUCUUUAGUCAAGUUGCUGUGAGCAUUGAUAGAGUGUGUAACUCUUAUAAACUGGCUAGUGAUGUGAUAAAUUAGUCGUUAAAUCGUAUAACUGUUUUAAGCUUUUACUUGUAAUAUAGUUUGUUGGCGAUGAGGUCGAUAAACAGGUUAUAAAUUUAUGUGUUAGACGCAAUAGAGUGAGGUUAAAGUUACCUUUAUUUUGUGAGUAUGUUAAUAUACUGAUGUUAGUUUAGCAGGUUUUAAAUUUAAUUAGCUUAACGUAUAAUAGUGAGAGUGUAUAAUUGUUUAAUAAGUAAUUAUAUUAGCUUUUUUGUUUCUCAGCAUAAUUCCGUCUGUUUAUCAAAAACAUUGUCAUAAAAUUAAAUUAUUUAUGGUAGUACCUGCUCUAUGUUGUAAAAUAAAUGGCCGCAGUAUAUUGACUGUGCGAAGGUAGCAUAAUUAAUUGCCUUCUAAUUAGAGGCUUGUUUGAAUGGUUUGACGUGAUUUAUUGUAACAUGAAAGCUUUUAUUGAAAUUAAUGUUGUGGGCACAGAAUCCGCAAGUGUUAAUUAGACGGAAAGACCCUAGGAUCUUGUAUUUUGCUUGGGGCCAGUGUGAAUAUUUUAUUCAUUUUGUGAUCCUAUUGGAUUGGAGAUUUAAGUUACCCUAGGGAUAACAGUGUUAUAACUUAUUAGAGUUCUUAUCGAUUAAGUUGUUUGCUACCUCGAUGUUGACUUGGGUUUAUACUUUGGCGCAGUAGUUGAAGUUUGUGGUCUGUUCGACCUUAUGUACCCCCAUGAGUUGAGUUAAGACCGGCGUGA